rnacentral:rRNA from 1 species
AUUGAACGCUGGCGGCAUGCCUUACACAUGCAAGUCGAACGGCCGCACGGGUGCUUGCACCUGGUGGCGAGUGGCGAACGGGUGAGUAAUACAUCGGAACAUGUCCUGUAGUGGGGGAUAGCCCGGCGAAAGCCGGAUUAAUACCGCAUACGAUCUACGGAUGAAAGCGGGGUACCUUCGGGCCUCGCGCUAUAGGGUUGGCCGAUGGCUGAUUAGCUAGUUGGUGGGGUAAAGGCCUACCAAGGCGACGAUCAGUAGAUGGUCUGAGAGGACGACCAGCCACACUGGGACUGAGACACGGCCCAGACUCCUACGGGAGGCAGCAGUGGGGAAUUUUGGACAAUGGGCGAAAGCCUGAUCCAGCAAUGCCGCGUGUGUGAAGAAGGCCUUCGGGUUGUAAAGCACUUUUGUCCGGAAAGAAAACCUUGGCUCUAAUACAGGCGGGGGAUGACGGUACCGGAAGAAUAAGCACCGGCUAACUACGUG